CCUACGGGAGGCAGCAGUCGGGAAUCUUGCACAAUGGGCGAAAGCCUGAUGCAGCAACGCCGUGUGAGCGACGAAGGCCCUAGGGUCGUAAAGCUCUGUUGUUAGGGACGAAGGGCGAAGGGUUAAUAGCCCUUAGCCUGACGGUACCUAUCGAGGAAGCCCCGGCUAACUACGUGCCAGCAGCCGCGGUAAU
rnacentral:rRNA from 1 species